rnacentral:rRNA from 1 species
UACGGGAGGCAGCAGUGGGGAAUAUUGGACAAUGGGCGCAAGCCUGAUCCAGCCAUGCCGCGUGAGUGAUGAAGGCCCUAGGGUUGUAAAGCUCUUUCGGCCGGGAAGAAAUCGUGUUCUCUAACAUAGGACAUGGAUGACGGUACCGGACUAAGAAGCACCGGCUAACUACGUGCCAGCAGCCGCGGUAAUA